GCUGGGACUACAGGCAUGUGCCACGUGCCCGGCUAAUUUUUUAUAUUUUUAGCAGAGAUGGGGUUUUACCAUGUUGGCCAGGCUGGUCUUGAACUCCUGACCUUGUGAUCCGCCUGCCUCGGCCUCCCAAAGUGCUGGGAUUAUAGGCGUGAGCCACAGUGCCCAGCCUACUCUUAAAGGACCACGUCUUAUCCUUUGUCUCCUGAAAGCAUAGCCCAGAACACAGGAGACUCUCCACCAGUAUUUGUGUACUGAAUAAAGGAAUGAAGGAAACCUUCAGGCCUUCCCUCCUCAGAAGAAUCCUAAAAGGAACUUGAUUCAGGGAAAGACUUCAACUCAAAGGGGCUGGUAGGCCAUUUUAAAUGGAACAGAUGGAAGGCCAUCUUCAAAGGUACUGCCUACCUGAACCUGCCUUGUCCCAAAGGACACACUUCAAUCUGGGGAGAGUUUAAAGUUGUAGACAUAUCCAUUUUCAUUUAAGGAAUAUGAAGAUCAGGGAGGCAAAAUAUAGAGAUAUAGAGAGGAAAAACUGAGAGAUGAUCAGAAAUUCAGACGCAUUCGGAAUGAGCACCCUUGACCAUACCAAGAACAAAGACUCUAUAAAAAUGUGAAGUCUUAUUAUUGUUCAUCCAUGUUCUACGUGGGAUCCACCCAAGACAUUGAAAACUGUACAGAACAGGGUGAAAUUGAAUCAGAUCAUUCUGUACUCCUAACAAGGUCCACCCCAUGAGAGACUUGCAGCAGAAUUAAUGACACUGUAUAUUUUCCUCUACUAACAACAACAAGAACAACAACAACAACAAUCUAGGAAAAUCAAAGGCAGCCCGACAUGGAAAAAAACACAAAAUGAAUAUUUGGAUUACAAAUAGUGUGAUGGGAAGAACACACUGCCAAAAGUCCACCUAGUAUGUUGAAAUUACUGUUUCUAGCACAUAUAAGAUUUGCUGCCAAUUUGUACUGACUUCUGAAAAAUACUUUAUCCAUUGUCUUCUUACAUCAGAAUCAACUCCCUAAAUUCUUCAGCACUGGCUUUGUAAACUGGUUUCUGGUCUUUGUUUCUGUCAACUUACCUAUAAAAGGAUACAAAAACUGAAGAACAGAGAGGAGCAGAUACCCUGGAAAGCCGAAAGUUUUAUUGACCAAAGACUGAGUCUCGGAAUGUUUUGAUUGUGGAGUUUAUAGAGUUCAGGCUGAAGUUUUAUAAAAAUAACUUGCAGCAGCAUGGAGGACUGAUGAGAAAGUAGACAGAUGCUGGAAGCAGGAAAACUGAACAGCAGGUCACUGGCCAAGGAGAAUCAAAGAGCUAGAUGCUGAGAAUAAUGCAGCCAUAACGUGAAAUCUUUUUGAGGCUCCGUGGUGGUCUUAAAAUAUAUCCACAAAUUUUCUGACAUCCUCUCUUCAAGAAGUGGAGCUUAAUUCCCUUUCCUUUGAGUGCAGACCACUCACUCUGGGAGAAAGCAACUGGCUAUGUCAUGAGGAAAUUGAAACCACCUAUGGAGAAAGGCCCACAUGGUGAGAAAGUAAAGCCUCUUCCCAAUACCAAAAUUCUGUAAGUCUGCUACGGUGACAUUUCUGGUUAGGAGUCAGAGUGGAUGGGACACUGAGCAAUAAGAAUGCAGAGACAUGAUGGCUGAAGCUGGAGCUUUUCCCUGAAGCAACCACCUGUUGGAAACUUCAUGUUGAAGAUGACUGAAUAAUAAGACAGAGGGGUCUGGGUCCCUGGUGGAUAUUCCAGAUCUGGGUGUUCGUGGAGAUAUGAGAAAGCAAUAAACUUCAAUUUUGCUUAAAUAGCUGUUACUUGGGGCAUUCUGUCAUUUAUGGACAAAUCUGACCUGGAUUAAUACACCUCCAGCUGGGUACCAAGACUGAUCUAAUAGUCAAAAAGGUUUCAUUCCAUCUAGAUAUUUCUCUAGAACAGGACCUAAAGAAGUUCUUUGACUGAAUUUCUUAUGGAAGUAAUAGGAGAGUUCCUU
rnacentral:lncRNA from 1 species